GAUUUCAACUGAAAAAGUCAUCAACAACAAAGUUGUAUAACUCAUCAAGAUCUAUAAAUUUUAUUAUAAUCAUUUCUUCAUCCAACAAAGUUAUUUGUAAGAUUGUUCACAAAAUAAACAUCUCUUAUAUAGUUUUAUAACUUUGUAAGAUUGUUCACAAAAUAAACAUCUCUUAUAUAGUUUUUAUAAAACUAUAUAAGAGAUGUACAUUUUGUGAACAGUCUUAAAAAUAACUUUGUGGGAUGAAGAAAUGAUUAAAAUAAAAUUUAUAGAUCUUGAUGAGUUAUACAAUUUGUUGUUGAUGACUUUUUCAGUUGAAAUC
rnacentral:pre_miRNA from 1 species